UACGAAGGGGGCUAGCGUUGUUCGGAUUUACUGGGCGUAAAGCGCACGUAGGCGGAUCGUUAAGUCGGGGGUGAAAUCCUGGAGCUCAACUCCAGAACUGCCUUCGAUACUGGCGAUCUUGAGUCCGGAAGAGGUGAGUGGAACUCCGAGUGUAGAGGUGAAAUUCGUAGAUAUUCAGAAGAACACCAGUGGCGAAGGCGACUUACUGGACACAUAUUGACGCUGAGGUGCGAAAGCGUGGGGAGCAAACAGG
rnacentral:rRNA from 1 species